AGAGAACAUUUCCAGAGAGAAAAAAACAAUUUGCUCAUCAUGCUUCAGAAGGAGAGAGAGAAACUGGCAUCUUUGGAAGGAAAGUAUGCAGAGUUGUCUGAGGGGCAGACCUUUACUAACAACUCUAUCAAAGAGCACUCUCUGAAGGAAAGGAGAAGGAGCAGCAAAGAAAACUCUUCCCACCCGAGUGACAGCCUACCUCAUAAGAGGAGCCAGCAGCUCCUCACCUCUUACGGCAGAUCCCUGGGACGCAUGCUUCCUCCUAAGGCCCACUUGCCUCUGUCCCAAAGCUCCAGCUGUGGCAGCGUCAUCCCACAAGGAUUCAGCUUCUCCCCCCGGGACCUGAGCACCCGCCGCCU
rnacentral:lncRNA from 1 species